CUCCCCCCUCCACCUGCUCCCCCCCUCCCUUUCUGACAACAUUCUUAGAUCUUGGCACAAGCCACUUUGGAUAACUUCCUUGGUGACAGGAGAUGGAGGACCAUCUUUCUUGAUAUUGACGUUUCAAAGUUGUGUCCCAGAACCUUAAGAAAAAGAUCCCAUGUUUGUAUCUGACAGAGGCUUAUUUAACUUUUAUAUAUAUACAGAGACACAGAGGAAGUAAUGUAAUUACAGAUUUUUUUCCCCCAAGAAAAUCCUCAAAGUAAAGGAAGAAGGAAAAAUAUCUCAUCCUUUUAUCCUUUUGACAAUAGGGAAAGCUUCGAUCAUUUUUCUUCUUUUUAACCCUUAUAGUAAAAUUAGUGCACUCCCUAGCUAUGACUUUUUAGCUCAGCUUUCUUGAUUUUUGGGAGCGGAUAUUCCAUACUGAGCUUGAAGAAACUUUCAGGGCUUAAGAGCCAGGAAAGUAAGUUUGUCUAUCUGUCUGUCUCUCUGAGGAUGGCCUUAGGCCUGAGCCUAAGCAACUUCAUUUUAUAAACUCCAGUUUGAAACCGGCAGUCUCACCAAGUACAUACAACAGAUCCCUCCCGAACAGCCUCAAGCAAGUUACUUCCACUCACUCUGAUAAACAGAGUGAAACCUCUGGCAGGCUGGAUGUUUCUGACCCCAGGGUAAACAUGUCAAGGAGAAAUCCAGAGGUAGCUGAUAAAGAUUGAAAGGGUGGGGGGGUCAAAAGCCCCAAAAUUUAGUAUAAAUAAUAGAGUUGAUGAACAGGAAUUCAGCCAGCCGAAACAAGGAUGCAAUCAAGCUGGAGAGCCUGAUGAGGACCUGACAUCCUGUCACUUGUCAGUGACAGGAUCCUCUUUCCAUCCUCACUGCUCUCAAACUCUACAACCUUAUCUGGACCAUGGUGAGAGCCGCAACUCCUCCCUAUGACCCCCUCCUCAACCAGUCAUCCACUCCACACCAGGAAAAGCCUUCCUUGGUUCACUCAGACCUGAUCACCGUGGUCUGAGUGAGUGUGCAUCUGCUGGACUUAAAGCCUAAGGCUAAAGACUUUUGAACUUAGCAUGCAGAGGGAAUGUCUGUCAUUAGCCUGUCAUGAUUAAGUGUGUUUGCAGUGCUUAGAGUUAAUCUAGAAUUGUUUGCUGUGAAUUGAUUAUGUCUAUUGCAGUGCCUAGUAUUAAGGAUUGUCCUUUUCUUAAGAACCUAUAGAGUGAAAUUGUAUUGAGCAAUUUGAGUGAAUAAAGCAUUGAAAGGGGCAGAAACAUGUAGACAUUCUUUAUUUCUCUCCUUGACUGCAUAUGUUGCAAUUUUGUCCCCUUGCAACACACAAACGUGCACAUAUAUAUGAUGUUGUUGCUGGCUGCCAAGCCAAGGGACCUGCCUGCCAUCUGCCCAUGUAAGAAAUAAACAAUGGAAAAC
rnacentral:lncRNA from 1 species